rnacentral:lncRNA from 1 species
CCUAGAGCGGCCGCGGAGGAGCGCCCUGGGCCGGGCCGCCGGGCGCGAGGCCUUCCCGGGAGGCACCUCAGCGGUCUCCGCGCUCUCCCCGGCGACGCUCCGGCGCCCCCGCAGGGCCUCCGGGAACUUCGAGGUCCCCUGCGAAGGGCCAGCUCGGAGCCUCCAGCCUGAAGAAGGUGGAAGUCGGGGAAAUGUGGGCGCUCCGGGGUUGACCCCACGGCGCUCGUUCUCGCUCAGGAGGAGCCGGUGACAAAAUUCGGGAGGUGACGAGCAGAGAGGAAGGCGAAGCGGCGCCGGCUCUUUGCCCCCGGACCCCAGCGCACCCCAUUGGGCUUCCGGGGGGAACGAGGAGGCUCUGCAGAGACUCUGGCCCGAGAGCAGGUGGCGGUGGCCUGGACGCGCUCCAGCCCGUCGGGUGCUUGGGGCCGCAGCCCGGCCUUGCAGACGCGGUGGAGUCGCUGCCGGGUGUGCUCGGGAGGGAUGCAGGUUCCGGAGCGGCAGGGGCUGGGGAGAUCGGCUGCCCUGGAGCCCGUCUCCUGGAAAGCACGCUUGGAAUGCCUCUUGAGGAUUCUGAGAGUCGGUCUGACUUGCCCAGGAAGAGAGAUCAGGAGACCAGAUGAUGCAGCAGCAAAAGUCUUAGGUGGACAAGUUGGAAGAAAGAAAUUUCCAGGCAGUAGGAGUAUGAACAAAUGUAGGGCUUACAAACUGCAUGAGGUGCAGUGGAAAAGAAGUUUUCAGAUUCAAAUCCUGCUUGGUUGGAUACACUUAUUUGAAAAUAAGCCCCAAUUUUGAGCAGUUUGAAAAUUUGAAUGUACUACUGUAAGCUAGGAACCGAUAAAAUAGAAUUCUUCGAAAUAUAUUAAGUGAAAAGAGCAAGCUGCAGAAAAAUGGUAAAUAUUUUACUCCUCUUUGUAAAAUAAAGUGUCCAAAAGAAAAUCAGGAAAGUGCAUAAGAGAAUAAGAGAUAUUGGUGGGAACUGGGGAGAUGGGAGAAAGGCAGAGCCAAAGAUUUUCUCACUAUGCCUUUUAAUGCUUUCUCAUUUUUGAACCAUGUGAAUAUAUUACUCAUGCAGAAAGUAUUUAAAUUAAACAAUAAAAAAAUCUUGUCUCUGU